UAACUGCCCCUAUAACUCAGAGGCAGAGUACUUCCUUGGUAAGGAAGAAGUCACCAGUUCAAAUCUGGUUAGGGGCUU
rnacentral:tRNA from 1 species